UACGUAGGGGGCAAGCGUUGUCCGGAUUUAUUGGGCGUAAAGAGCGUGUAGGCGGCCAGGUAGGUCCGCUGUGAAAACUCGAGGCUCAACCUCGAGAUGUCGGCGGAAACCAUCUGGCUAGAGUCCGGGAGAGGAGAGUGGAAUUCCUGGUGUAGCGGUGAAAUGCGCAGAUAUCAGGAAGAACACCCGUGGCGAAAGCGGCUCUCUGGAACGGUACUGACGCUGAGACGCGAAAGCGUGGGGAGCGAACAGG
rnacentral:rRNA from 1 species